GGCCAAGUUUUUAAGGGCGCACGGUGGAUGCCUUGGCACCAGGAACCGAUGAAGGACGUGGGAGGCCGCGAUAGGCCCCGGGGAGCUGUCAACCGAGCUUUGAUCCGGGGGUGUCCGAAUGGGGAAACCCGGCAGUCGUCAUGGGCUGUCACCCGCUGCUGAACACAUAGGCAGUGUGGAGGGAACGCGGGGAAGUGAAACAUCUCAGUACCCGCAGGAAGAGAAAACAACCGUGAUUCCGGGAGUAGUGGCGAGCGAAACUGGAUGAGGCUAAACCGUAUGUGUGUGAUACCCGGCAGGGGUUGCGCAUGCGGGGUUGUGGGAGUGUGCUGGAUCGGUCUGCCGGCUGGUCGGAGAGUCAGAAACCGUAUGGGUAGGCGAAGGGCAUGCGAAAGGCCCGGCGUAGAGGGUAAGACCCCCGUAGCUGAAAUCUGUACGGCUCUCUUGUGUAUUUCCCAAGUAGCACGGGGCCCGAGAAAUCCCGUGUGAAUCUGGCGGGACCACCCGCUAAGCCUAAAUAUUCCCUGGUGACCGAUAGCGGAUAGUACCGUGAGGGAAUGGUGAAAAGUACCGCGGGAGCGGAGUGAAAUAGUACCUGAAACCGUGUGCCUACAAGCCGUGGGAGCGUCGCGCAGGGAUUUGUCCUUGCGUCGUGACUGCGUGCCUUUUGAAGAAUGAGCCUGCGAGUUUGCGGUGUGUUGCGAGGUUAACCCGUGUGGGGAAGCCGUAGCGAAAGCGAGUCCGAAUAGGGCGGUGGAGUAGCGCGCUCAAGACCCGAAGCGGAGUGAUCUAGCCAUGGGCAGGUUGAAGCGGAGGUAAGACUUCGUGGAGGACCGAACCCACCAGGGUUGAAAACCUGGGGGAUGACCUGUGGUUAGGGGUGAAAGGCCAAUCAAACUCCGUGAUAGCUGGUUCUCCCCGAAAUGCAUUUAGGUGCAGCGUCGUGUGUUUCUUGCCGGAGGUAGAGCACUGGAUAGGCGAUGGGCCCUACCGGGUUACUGACCUUAGCCAAACUCCGAAUGCCGGUAAGUGAGAGCGCGGCAGUGAGACUGUGGGGGAUAAGCUCCAUGGUCGAGAGGGAAACAGCCCAGAGCAUCGACUAAGGCCCCUAAGCGUACGCUAAGUGGGAAAGGAUGUGGAGUCGCAGAGACAACCAGGAGGUUGGCUUAGAAGCAGCCAUCCUUGAAAGAGUGCGUAAUAGCUCACUGGUCAAGUGAUUCCGCGCCGACAAUGUAGCGGGGCUCAAGCGUACCGCCGAAGUCGUGUCAUUGCAGCAUGUGCCCUUAACGGGGGCUGUGAUGGGUAGGGGAGCGUCGUGUGCCGGGUGAAGCAGCCGUGUAAGCGAGUUGUGGAUGGUUCACGAGUGAGAAUGCAGGCAUGAGUAGCGAUACACACGUGAGAAACGUGUGCGCCGAUUGACUAAGGGUUCCUGGGUCAAGCUGAUCUGCCCAGGGUAAGUCGGGACCUAAGGCGAGGCCGACAGGCGUAGUCGAUGGACAACCGGUUGAUAUUCCGGUACCCGCUUUGAAACGCCCAGUAUCGAAUCCUCUGAUGCUAAGGCCGUGAAGCCGCCCUGAUCUCUUCGGAGUUGAGGGGAGUGGUGGAGCCGCUGGUCCAAGGUGGUAGUAGGUAAGUGAUGGGGUGACGCAGGAAGGUAGUCCAGCCCGGGCGGUGGUUGUCCCGGGGUAAGGGUGUAGCCCGAGGGGUAGGUAAAUCCGUCUCUCGUUUAAGGGUGAGACCUGAUGCCGAGCCGAUUGUGGUGAAGUGGAUGAUCCUAUGCUGUCGAGAAAAGCCUCUAGCGAGUUUCAUGGCGGCCCGUACCCUAAACCGACUCAGGUGGUCAGGUAGAGAAUACCGAGGCGUUCGGGUGAACUAUGGUUAAGGAACUCGGCAAAAUGCCCCCGUAACUUCGGGAGAAGGGGGGCCAUUGCUGGUGAUGGGAUUUGCUCCUUGAGCUGGUGGUGGCCGCAGAGACCAGCGAGAAGCGACUGUUUACUAAAAACACAGGUCCGUGCGAAGCCGUAAGGCGAUGUAUACGGACUGACGCCUGCCCGGUGCUGGAACGUUAAGGGGACCGGUUAGUGGGGUUUCGAUUCCGCGAAGCUGAGAACUUAAGCGCCAGUAAACGGCGGUGGUAACUAUAACCAUCCUAAGGUAGCGAAAUUCCUUGUCGGGUAAGUUCCGACCUGCACGAAUGGCGUAACGACUUCUCGACUGUCUCAACCAUAGGCCCGGUGAAAUUGCAUUACGAGUAAAGAUGCUCGUUUCGCGCAGCAGGACGGAAAGACCCCGGGACCUUUACUAUAGCUUGAUAUUGGUGUUCGGUUCGGCUUGUGUAGGAUAGGUGGGAGACUGUGAAGCGCUGACGCCAGUUAGUGUGGAGUCGUUGUUGAAAUACCACUCUGGUCGUGCUGGAUGUCUAACCUGGGUCCGUGAUCCGGAUCAGGGACAGUGUCUGGUGGGUAGUUUAACUGGGGCGGUUGCCUCCUAAAGGGUAACGGAGGCGCCCAAAGGUUCCCUCAGCCUGGUUGGCAAUCAGGUGUUGAGUGUAAGUGCACAAGGGAGCUUGACUGUGAGACCGACGGGUCGAGCAGGGACGAAAGUCGGGACUAGUGAUCCGGCGGUGGCUUGUGGAAGCGCCGUCGCUCAACGGAUAAAAGGUACCCCGGGGAUAACAGGCUGAUCUUCCCCAAGAGUCCAUAUCGACGGGAUGGUUUGGCACCUCGAUGUCGGCUCGUCGCAUCCUGGGGCUGGAGUCGGUCCCAAGGGUUGGGCUGUUCGCCCAUUAAAGCGGUACGCGAGCUGGGUUUAGAACGUCGUGAGACAGUUCGGUCCCUAUCCGCUGUGCGCGUAGGAGUCUUGAGAAGGGCUGUCCCUAGUACGAGAGGACCGGGACGGACGAACCUCUGGUGUGCCAGUUGUUCUGCCAAGGGCAUGGCUGGUUGGCUACGUUCGGGAGGGAUAACCGCUGAAAGCAUCUAAGCGGGAAGCCUGCUUCGAGAUGAGGGCUCCCACCCACUUGAUGGGUUAAGGCUCCCAGUAGACGACUGGGUUGAUAGGCCAGAUAUGGAAGCCGGGUGACCGGUGGAGUUGACUGGUACUAAUAGGCCGAGGGCUUGUCCUC
rnacentral:rRNA from 1 species